AAGUCGGUCUAGCAGUGACAUGAUGUUGAUUAUGUGUCAGUGUACAACCACACUUGACAGCACCUGUAACUAUGCCUUCAAGCGACGAUGGAAGGGAACAUUGUGUCUUUAAAGCAGUGUGAUAAAGCAGUGAACACUCUCUUCAGACCUGGCGGACUUACGCAGGUGCAGAACUAAUAGGUGUGCAGAGACAGAGAGGAACAGCUGGCUGCAGCAGGAACAGCUGGAGCUGUCGCCGCCCGUGUAGCGCCACCUGGAGGGGCGUGGAGGAGCA